rnacentral:rRNA from 1 species
GUCUACAACUGAAUGCACCCGAUCUCGUCUGAUCUCAGAAGCUAAGCAAGGUUGGGCCUGCUUAGUACUUGGAUGGAAGGAAAAGCAGUUUCAAAGGCU